AAACACCGGUUCUCAUGCGAUCACCAAAGUUAAGCAAAGUCGAGUCUGGUAACUACCUUGAUUGGUGACCCCUUAGGAAUACCAGGUA